AGUCGAGGGGCAGCACAGGUAGCAAUACCGGGUGGCGACCGGCGCACGGGUGAGUAACGCGUAUGCAACUUACCUAUCAGAGGGGGAUAACCCGGCGAAAGUCGGACUAAUACCGCAUGAAGCAGGGGCCCCGCAUGGGGAUAUUUGCUAAAGAUUCAUCGCUGAUAGAUAGGCAUGCGUUCCAUUAGGCAGUUGGCGGGGUAACGGCCCACCAAACCGACGAUGGAUAGGGGUUCUGAGAGGAAGGUCCCCCACAUUGGUACUGAGACACGGACCAAACUCCUACGGGAGGCAGCAGUGAGGAAUAUUGGUCAAUGGGCGUAAGCCUGAACCAGCCAAGUCGCGUGAGGGAUGAAGGUUCUAUGGAUCGUAAACCUCUUUUAUAAGGGAAUAAAGUGCGGGACGUGUCCCGUUUUGUAUGUACCUUAUGAAUAAGGAUCGGCUAACUCCGUGCCAGCAGCCGCGGUAAUACGGAGGAUCCGAGCGUUAUCCGGAUUUAUUGGGUUUAAAGGGUGUGUAGGCGGCCUUUUAAGUCAGCGGUGAAAGUCUGUGGCUCAACCAUAGAAUUGCCGUUGAAACUGGGGGGCUUGAGUAUGUUUGAGGCAGGCGGAAUGCGUGGUGUAGCGGUGAAAUGCAUAGAUAUCACGCAGAACCCCGAUUGCGAAGGCAGCCUGCCAAGCCAUUACUGACGCUGAUGCACGAAAGCGUGGGGAUCAAACAGGAUUAGAUACCCUGGUAGUCCACGCAGUAAACGAUGAUCACUAGCUGUUUGCGAUACGCUGUAAGCGGCACAGCGAAAGCGUUAAGUGAUCCACC
rnacentral:rRNA from 1 species